CGGCGACGUCGUGAUGACGAUACCCGGCGGAGGCGCGGCCCGCGUGCUCUGGGUGGCUGAGCGUCGAGGCUUCUGAAAUCCGAGGGUAGCUGAGUCAAGGGGAGAACCAAGUACAAAGAUGGCAUCCGGAUUUGGCGUUUGGGGAUUGGCUGUUGUCCUGUGCUGAUUCUUGAGAAAAGCUGUGAAUUCCUGCAACUUACAUUAGGAAUCUUCUGAUAUCUUCAACUGCUCUGUGAAGUCCACUGUAAUAUUCUGUAAGUAAUAUGAUGUCCCACCUUUUUUUGGGAGAAUAUCUUGUUCUGCACUCGCCGCAUACAGGCAUCCUCAUGCUUUCCGCGUUUAGACAUAGUGGGUGAGUGUCCCAUGCUUGUAAAGUAAAUGCACGGACAGCACUCAGUUAUUCAUGGCGAUGAAGCGUCCUAACAGGGAAGUUGUGGCACGUGCAGGUUUAGCGACGAAUCAGUUGGUUCUGUUUCUUUAUGAAAGGUUUCUUGUCGGAGGCACAAUUUCAAGGGUCGCUUCCAUAGCACAUUUACACGUUUUCAAAGUAAAGUGUAAAGGUAGAU